GGAAAGAUUAAUAGUGAGUUAAUGCCACACUAGAAUUUGCACUCAAAAUGCCUGAGUUGCUAUACUACUCUCUAGCUACCUACCACUGAAGGCUUCCAUUUAGAACUCCACAUUGUAUAUUGUAUGUAUAAACUAGCAGUGUAUAUAUAAACUAGUUCAACAGCAUUGUAUAUAUAAACUAGUUCAAACUACUAUAGAAUGCACAUGAAAAAGUCAUAAUAAUAGGUAAUAAAAUGUUUUCAUUUCAAGAUACAUUUUUCUAGUUUUAUAUAUAGUUUUUUCCAUAGUUCUGUGUAACUAAAUUUAUUUAUUUAUUUAUUUAUUUAUAGAGAUGGGGGGUCUUGCUAUGUUGCCCAGUACAGUUUUGAACUCCUGGCCUCAAGCUAUCCUGCCUCCUCAGCCUCCACAAUAGCUGAGGUUUCAAGCAUGAGAUACUGUGCCUGGUCUGAGUAACCAAUUAAUGCCUACAAUAAAACUCCUGAAUGAAUAUUGGAACUACAGGUAAGGACAUAUGGGGAAACCAAGACAUACAGCAAGUGAAUAACACAGCUAGUGAGUGGCAGAGCUGGGCUUUCAACUCAGGCUCUGGGUCCCACGUCAUUGCUGUCUAUGCUAUGCUGCCUCUCCAAAGGGAUUGUUAAACUUUUCUUUUUCUUGUAAGUGAAUUAAAACCUUUUCCAUCUCUUUCCAUUCCCACUUAGAACUAAUUUGUUCUGCAUUCCAUUCAUAAACCUCACUGGAUAAACUUAUUCAUCAUCCAAAUUCAUAUGAAAAAUCCCACUCUAAACUUAUUCAUAAACCCAUCAUCAAAAAUCCCACUCUAAAAUGAGCAUGGGAAGCAAAGAUUUUAAGAGAUUCCAGUGCCAAUCAACUUUCCUGAAUAACACAUUUUGUUUAGCUGGAAAGCCAAAGGAGCGAUGCUAAUGUAACUAUGAUAUUAGUAUGAUAUUAGUGGGCCAUGAUGCGUCUGAAUAAGCGAGAUAGUCCAUGGAUGCCCAGGCAGAUGGUUUCUUUCUGGAACUCAACAUCUUUGUCUUUAUGUCAAGAAUUUUGAACUGCAUGAUGGCUAAGGUUCCUUCCAUGUCUGUGUUACUGAUCUCAGCUUCACUAUUUCCCAGGGAUGUGGGUGGGCACCUGACACCCAGGGUUCCAUUAUAUUCUGGGAGACACUUGAAGCAAAUGUGAAGGACAAAAGUGCCAAUAAAGUGAAACAAGUAUAUGUAGUGACAAAGCAAUAUUCAGUUUAUGAAAAAUAAUGCAAAGGAAUUUCAUGAAACCCAAACAAAUGUAGGCAUUUGUUGAUUCUCCUCAGUAUAGCAAAUGAAACAGGUGUCAACGUGGAGGGCAGAAUCCAUUGUUGUUUGUCAAUUACCUCUUCUUCUACUCUUGACCAGGGUGUCAU
rnacentral:lncRNA from 10 species